CAAAGAAGGAGGAAAAUAUGCAGAGUGGUAUGAAGAAAAGGGUAACUACUAAUUCUAGUAGUAAUGGAAAUAGUGUUGAAGCUGCUAAACCUAAAGAAAGACAUAUUGUUUCUUGGUCUCAAGAGGAGGAUGAUAUACUAAGAGAGCAAAUUCGAAUUCAUGGAACAGACAAUUGGACGAUCAUCGCAUCGAAGUUCAAGGAUAAAACAACAAGGCAAUGUAGAAGAAGAUGGUUUACUUAUUUGAACUCUGAUUUCAAGAAAGGAGGGUGGUCACCUGAAGAAGAUAUGCUUUUAUGUGAGGCUCAAAAGAUUUUUGGUAACAGAUGGACUGAAAUUGCCAAGGUGGUAUCAGGCAGGACGGAUAAUGCUGUGAAGAAUCGG
rnacentral:misc_RNA from 1 species